rnacentral:lncRNA from 1 species
UCCAUUUCUUCUUUCCCUUUCUCUCUCUUAUCGUAUCUUCACUACUCUCUCUCAUUCUUUCUCUCUAAACCCUUUCCUCCAGCCACCCUGAAACCUAGUAGCCACUGUGCUAACUGCCCCCAAACCCACAUCUCUAGUUAAAGUUCAAUCGGGAUCUUCAUAUCUUCAAAUACCAAACCCAGAACCCUUCAAGACCAUGAACCCUAGGAUGAACCCUAACCUUAAUGAAGAACCCUAAUUGGGUUCUUUUGAACCCUAACUUAUCAACCUAGAACCCUAACCCUAAAGUGAAGAACCCUAACCCUAACUUCUAAGAAACCUAACCCUAAAACUAUCCAGAAACCCUCAAUCUGAUCUAGAUCGAAUCCUAAUCAAACCUAAAACACAAAUCAACCCUUAACAGAAAUCAAACACAAAAACCAUAUAUCUAUCAUUCAAACUAAAUUCAGAAUAAAUCAAACAUAGCCAUGCAAAUCGAAUAAGUGAAUGAAGGCAAAGGGGUAACAAAUUCAACCAACCUACGGAGAUGAGUAAUUCUCCGGUAAAAAAAAAGAUAAUCGUUUCGAUUCUUUUUAUUGUCUUUGGUCCAGUUUGUCUUUUCUUCCUCCUCUAACUUCUUCUUUUUCCCUUGUGCGAGGUAUCAAUGGUAUUGUGAUGUGGCUUAGCUCAGAGGAAUUAGGGUCUCAAUAUGGUACCCUAAUGACUGUUUGAUUGGAGCUUUAAUGGAGGUUUCGGGGUUGCAAAAGCAAUUAUACUCUUAGGGUUUUCUUAUCUCUUUUUUUCGUUCUUAAAUCAUAUAAUUUCUCAUGUAUUAAUAGAUCAAAUUAGGUCUUAGUGAUUUAAUCAUAUUGAUUUGUUUUAGAAAAAUUUGUAUUAGAUUGAUUGUAAUUUGAUUUAGUUUUUUUUUAGAAUUUGGAUCCGACUGUACUUGGUCCUAAUUGUAUCGUGUAAUGCAUUUGAGAAUUGAAUUUGGAAAUAUUUGAUGGCAUUUUCAAUUUGAGGUUGUGGUUUUUUCCGCUUUCAGUUUACGCACGACUUAGGGUUUAUGGAUUGAAGAAUUGGGAAUUGGGGAUUGGAUCGGGUCAUGGGUGUGACCCGAUAGAAUGAUGGAUUUGGGUAUUCCUAACCCAAUUGGUUUGGACCUGGGUCCUGCGUUGACCCAGUUGGACUUGGGCUUUGGUCAGUCCUUUGACAAACCCAUUUAACAUAAAAAAAUGGAUUAAAAAGCUAAUAAGAAUAAACUAAUUACCUUAUUAAGACUAAUUAACCUAACCAUCAUCUAAUAAUAAUAUAAAUUGAUAUUUUGAUAAAAGUUGAUUAAUGAAGUAAUUAACCUAAUUAACAUUAGUAGAAUUUAAACUAAACUCGAGUUAAUCAUAAGUUAAUCAUAUAUUAAAACCUCUUUUAUUAAUUUAACUAUAAAUUAGCAAAAAAAUACAAUAAUCCCAUAAACCCUAAUCAAUUCUAAAAACCACAAGAUUAUCAAUUAAUCGGGAUGGUUAAGGGAAAAGUCAAAAUAGUCCUCCUUUGACUUUUUAUGUCAUUAGGGCUGACCAAAUAACUUAUACCGACUCCAGACGUGUUAGUGAUAUAGGUUAGGGGACAUAUGGUCAAAAUUUGGGGUAUGACGGCUACCCCUAUUUAAUCAGCUUACACUGGGAGGAGGAUGACAGUGAGUCUUUGUCCACCCUGGAGAAGGUGAUUAAAUAUAUAGAGGGUCCCUAAUUUUUACCAUGUAGUUUGUAGAUCCCGAGAACGAGCACAAAUUGAACAAUCCCUAAUGCUUUGUUGGUAUCCGAACCAACUUAUGAUGGAACCAUGGUGAGACUUUGUUGAUUAAUUUCAGCCCAUUUGGGUGAAACUAGCAUACCAGUUCUAUGAUCAUCCGAUCAUUUUAUCAAAAUUGGAUAUGACGAUCCUUCGAUCGUUGCUUGAUAGAACCCCUUUGAUUGUUUCAACCCCUUCUGGUGAAACUUGCAUACGAUUCUUAUGAUCAUUCGAUCAUAUUAUGGAAAUCGGGCAGGACUCUGAUGAUCCUCUAGUCGCGAUUUGAUAAAACUCUGAUAGAACCCCUUUGAUUAGUUUCCGCCCAUCCAGGUGUAACUUGCGUACGAUUCCUAUGAUCCUCCGAUUGUCUUAUGGAAAUCAGGUAGGACUCUAAUGAUCCUCCGAUCGUUAAAAUUCCUAUUAUCAACCGAUCAUUUGGAAUCUUGGUAGGACUCUGAAGAUCCUCCAUGCGUUGUUUGAUAAAACCCUGUGCAUUUGAUGGAGCUUGUCCCAUGUACGAGAUAGGUUGUUAAGCUGGGGAUAUGAGAUAUGAACACCUACUCAUUAGUCGAUAGCGAUCAUUUGAGAUGAUCGAUUUAUUGGACAUGUUAAACUUGCAGGGGAGAUCCUUUCCUUAAAAAGGCUCCUUAGAGGCUCACUUACUAGGGAAGGCCAAUAAGUAUUCUUGACUUGAGGAUUUGUAUUAAUAUUGCUGGUGAUUGAACUUCUAGGAGUGGUCACAAGUCAUAUGUUAUAAUAUGUGUGUUCAUGCGGAUGCAUGUCUUGAAUUGAUGUAUGUGCUUAUGUGUGAUGCUUUAUUUAGGCUAUCGCCUUUUUUAUGAUGUGUAUGAUGAAUACAUGAAGUUAUAGGAAUUGUGAGAAUCUAGGUUUCUGUAACAUUCUGACUCUCCAACCCCUUGAGACUUUGAUAUAUCCAUCGACUAGGCCAUGAUGCUCUUGAUGUUUGAGAAUAAUUAAAAGGAAGAAACUUAUGUGCUAAUUAGAUCAUGACUGCUGAUUCAGGGACCCUACGUUUUUUAAUGUUGGAAAGCUAAUGAUAUUUUUGACGUUUCGAAAUCGAAGUAAAAGAUGUUUUCAAAAAGCUUUUUAUUAUGCCCGGUGUUUUAAUGUAUUAUUCACAAAUAAUUGAUAUUUAAUAAUCGAGUAGAAAAUUUGAAAAUAAGGCUAAAAAACAAUGUUAUUUAUUGAGAAUUUUGACCCAUAAAUGGGUGAUAGUACAUGAAGAAGCAAUUCCCAUAAGGGGAGAUUAUUGAAAAGCUGGAAGAUGUAAAUUGACAAUGAAAAUAGAUUACUUUAGAUUCCUAGUGAAUUCAAUAAUUGCUAUUAUCCAUAUGUCUUCAAAGUCACGAUACUUUGCUUCUGAAGAUGAUGAUUGAAUUGAUUGUUUCCAUCUGAAUUCCUGUUGUAGUAUGGCUUAAGUACUGCAGUCAUAUGCCUUUUGGAUAUCUCUAACUUUUGUCUGGACUGCUCUUUCGAGUCUUAGUCCACCAGGAUGAUGUACCCUUUUUUUCCUAAGACGCCAUUUUGGAGUUUUCGGUUUAGCUGAUUUUAUUUUAUACAAGUGUCUAAUUUUUUCCUAGAUCGCACUUUCGAGUUUUCAAUCCACCGAGACGUCCUAAUUUUUGCCUAAGUCGCCCUCUCGGGUUUUUGACUUAGCGGAUUUUUAUCCUCUUUUUCUAGGCAUAGUAUUUCUUGACUGCUUCAGAGUUCACAGGUCGUGGUAACUCUGCUCAAUUCAUAGUUGUGAAUAUUAAGACCUCUCCAAAGAAGGCCUUUUUCACGACGUAUGGCCCUUGGUAGUUUUGUGUCCAUUUUUCCGCGGGGAUCUUUGUGGAUGGGUAAGAUUUUCCUGAGUACUAGGUCGCCUUCUAAGAAUAGACGAGCAUCAACUCGCUUGUUGAAUGCUUUCUUUAGCCUCCGCUGAUAUAAAUGUCAGUGACAUAUUGCAGCCAUGCGCUUCUCUUCUAUGAGUUUUAGUUGAUAGAAUAUUGUUUGUGCCUAUUCUUCCUCUUCCAAUUUAGUCUCCAUCGGAACUCUCAGAGAGGAGAUCUCGACUUCAAUAGGAAGUAUCAGUGCCAUAUACAAGAGAGAAAGGAUUUGUUCCUAUUGACGUGCGAACUGAUGUUCUAUAGCUGUGUAGUGCAAAAGGUAGCAUUUCAUGCCAAUUUUUACAAGUUUUUACCAUCUUCUGCAUAAUCUUUUUGAUGUUUUAGUUAGUUUUUUCUACUGCACCGUUCAUCUUAGGCCUGUAUGGUGAUGAGUAAUGGUGUUCGAUUUUGAAACUGUCGCAUAACUCGUCUAUUACCUUGUUGUUUAGAUUCAACCCAUUAUCAGUGGUGAUCUUGUUAGGAACACCGUAAUGACAAAUGAUUUCCUUUUUGAUCAAUCGUGCAAUCACUUAUCUCGUCACAUUAGUGUAAGAAGCAUCCUCUACCCACUUGGUGAAGUAAUCGAUAGCAACCGGGAUGAAUCAAUGUUCGUUCACAACUUUUGGAUCAAUCAUCCCAAUUAUGUGAAUACCCCGUAUGGUGAAAGACCAUGGAGUGGUCAGGAUAUUCAAGGAGUAUGUGGCACAUGUAACACUCCAGACUGCUUUCAGGAUUACCGACUGACCCCACAAAUCAACACGGGUCUUUUCAGUAUGUUUUAUCCUCACUCACAUGCUUUCCAGGAAACUUCCUGGAAGGUCACCCAUCCAAAUACUACUCCAAGUCAAGAACGCUUAACUUUGGAGUUCUUAUCUGUUAGGCUACUGAAAAGAAGAUGCAUCUUGUUGGUAUAGGUAGUACCAAUUAAUCCUUAUAAACAUUUCUUUGAUCAUGCAGUCCCAUACCUGCACAGCCUCAGGAUCCCUCUCAUUCCGAUGUGAAUUCAGGUUUUCCCUAGAAGUUGUUAGGAGUGUCUCAUUGUCAUACCUCAUACACCGACAACCACUCCCUCAUCCUCGGGUGUUACAUGUAACCACUCCCCUCCCUCUUUGCCCUAGGGUGUUACAUUUCCACCAGCUUCUGCUUGGUUCGUCCCCGAACCACAUCGUACUGGGAGAGGUCUGGCUCUGAUACCAUUUGUAACGCUUCAGAAAACUUUCAUGAUUAUCGACUGAUCCCACAAACCAACACGGGUCUUUUUAGCAAGUUUUAUCCUCACUCACAUGCUUUCUAGGAAACUUCCCAGAAGGUCACCUAUCCAAAUACUACUCCAAGUCAAACACGCUUAACUAUGAAGUUCUUAUCUGUUGGGCUACCGAAAACAAGAUGCAUCUUCUUUUCGGUAGCUCAAUAGAUAAGAACUCCAUAGUUAAGCGUGCUUGACUUGGAGUAGUAUUUGGAUGGGUGACCUUGUGGGAAGUUUCUCGGAAAGCAUGUGAGUGAGGAUAAAACAUGUUGCAAAGACCCGUGUUGGUUUAUGGGGUCAGUCGAUAAUACAGAAUGCAAUCUGGGGCGUUACAACACAAUUACUUUGUCUUCAUAUAUAUGGAACUUAUGACAUUUCUUGACGUAUUUGAAGCAAUCAGACUCCAUAGUCAACCAAUAGUACCAUGCUCUGAGAAUUUUCUUAGCCAUCGUGUGCCCAUUGGCUUGAGUGUCAAAGGAUCCCUCGUGAAUCUCUUUGAUAAACAUGCCUGCUUCAUAUCCAUCUAGGCAUAUGAGUAAGACCUCGCCGAGGUUCUGUUUAUAGAGUACAUCACCAUUGUGGAAGAAUUGAGAUGCCAAUCUUUUGAGCGUUUUCUUAACUUCGCUUGAAGCAAUCACCAUGGAGUCAACUUUUAUAUGCAACUCUAAUUCAAAAUUGAUUAAUGCAUAUUCUUAUAUUAAAAUUAUUCUAUUUAUGUUCUUGUAUAUUUUCAAUUAAUAUUUGUAAAGAUGAUCAAAUAAGGUAUAUCUUAUUACAAAGUGUGAAAUUUUAAGUUGAAAUUAGUAAUGUUGGAUAGAGGAUUGAAGAAUCUAUAAAAAUCUCUUUUUUUAUUGGGAAAACUAUAGCCAAUGAAAAUGGGUUAUACAAGUUUUAAUAUCAUAAAUUUUUUAUAAGUAAGCAAUUGAUUAAAGAAAGAGAGUGCAAGGGAUACUCUAACCCUUACAAAGAUGAAAAACGCCACUUACAAACAGAGAGAAGGAACGAAAUAACAAUCGUACCAACGAUAAAUUUGAGAAGAAAUACUACCAACAACUAACUAAUUCCAAGAUAAGGAAUUAAUGGAUAAGACUACUUCUUCUACAUAUAAUUUUUUUUCAUUAAACAAAGAAUUAUUUCUCCCUAAUCAGAUGAUCCAACAAGCUAUUAUCCAAAACAUCUCAUCCUUCUUCUUGCCAAAAUCUUGGCACAACUUCCCCCACAAAGACAUAAACGAUACUCGCUGACAAAAAUGUCCAAAAAAAUCACAACCAAACCAGUUACCCUAUUUCCUCCACACAUAGCAAACAACCAGACAAGAUAUGAAAAGAUAGAGCAAGUUCUCCUCUUUAGUAGAACAAAAGACACAUAAAGUAUCACUAGCAUCGUUAAUGAUACCUCUAUACAAUAAGUUAACCUUAGUCGACAACCAAUCAAUCAACAACCUCCAAACAAAAAGAAUAAAUUUGGAAAGAAUUUAUAAAACACCUCAAAUUGUGUCUGAGACAAUCUUUGCUCAAGCCAUAAUCAUAACCUAAACUAGAUAAAUCUCUCAAAUAAAUCGAGUCAUGAUAGGAAUCCCAAAAGAACGAUAUAUAAAUCCAAUCAACUUUGACCAAAUAGCCGGGAAAUCAUUUAAAAUCUUCCACUUCCACAUCAAAAGGAGGGAUAUAUUUAACAACCGAAUAUCUUUGACAUAUAAACCUCCUUAUCUUUAGGUAAACAGACAUUUUCCCAACUAACCUAGUGAAUGGAUCUUCUCGUGGUUGGAAAAAACUUUACGAGUCACCACCAUAUUUUAUUUGUUCCUAAUGAACCGGGAAAUAAUGAUAAAACCUAAGAUAAAGGGGAGAGACUAAGGUUUGGGAGUCAGUUAAGCAAUGAGAAGGUAUUAGGAACCCCUAACCUCCAUUGUACUCAAUGGGAUCCUCCUCUAAAUCUAGGGUUAGUGUGUGUUUCCAUAGGGAAUGUUUUCUUACGUCGUUUUUUAUUUGCUUAAUCUAUAUAUUUAUUAAAAAAUGCUAUUGUUAAAAGAAAAUGAUUGAGUAAUGAAGUUAGACACAAGAAAGGUGUUUUUGGUUAUCGUACUCGCUAGAGUGCUAUGACUCUAUGCCUACAUACCUUGAUAUUAGAUGAAGGAUCAGAGAACCGUAGUUCUUUUAGAAAAUGUUUGUUUGUUUUGUGUUUUUUUAGAUUGUUGAAAGUUAUCAACACAUCGGGUGCGGACAAACGUUUGAAAAAAAUAACUCAAUGCACCAGGGAAGAGGACUUAUAGAUUGACUGUGUGGCAUUGAUUUUGAUUCAUUUGUUAAUUACAAAAAUAUACCAUGUUUAAUUUUAUUAGAAAUUAUAUUAAAUGAUAUAAUUAUAGACAUACUUAACUUUAUUUGAGCUUUUAAACAUAACUAGAUAAUGAAAGAAAAAUCAGUAUGAUCUCGAUUAAACCUUGAUUAGAUUUAAUAAUGUCCCAAAAGUUAGCCCUUAAAUUUAAUCGUAAAAUUAUACUAAUAACCCCUAACCAUUAAAGCAUAUUUUUAUAUUUUGUAAUUUAAAAUAUGCUAAAUCCUUGAUUAUUAAGAUUAAUUGUUUUAACUAAAUUAAUUAUCAAUUAGAUUCUAAAAGUAAAUUGUUAAUUAUAAACUUUUUAAUUAAGAAAAUAAGUUAAUUGAUUGAGUUUGAAUAAAUUAAGUUGGGGGUGCAUUGUUAGUUGUACUAGUAAUUGGGCUGAGGCUGGGGGAGUAAAUAGCAAAAAAAGAGGAAGCCCAUUAACCUCUGAAGCACAACAAUGGCCAGAGGCUCCAUGGAGAGAGUCAAGAAUUGACUCUCAUCCAUGGAUGUUGGAUAAAUCCAACAUGAUUUAGGUAGAGGGUACCAAAGUUGUGUGAUAGACAUACUAAGUUAAAGUAAUUGUAAUGGAGAGUGGGGAUUAAAAGUCAAAGCAAACAUAUGGUAAGAGCAAGCACCUAGGCUAGUCUGAGCCAACAUAUUGUUUGGUGGAAAUGUGCCACUUGGGUGUGAUAUGGAUACGAGACAAAGGCAGCAUAUAACCCCAAAAUCUUCAGAGUUAUUCCAUUUCUUCUUUCCCUUUCUCUCUCUUAUCUUAUCUUCUCUACUCUCUCUCGUUCUUUCUCUCUAAACCCUUUCCUCUAGCCACCCAAACCCAGAUCUCUGGUUGAAGUUUAAUCAGGAUCUUCAUUUCUUCAAAUCCCCAACCCAGAACCCUUCAAGACCAUGAACCCUAGGAUGAACCCUAACCUUAUUGAAGAACCCUAGCUAGGUUAUAUUGAACCCUAACUUAUCAACCUAGAAUCCUAACCCUAAAGUGAAGAACCCUAAGCCUAACUCCUAAGAACCCUAACCCCAAGACUCCCCAAAAACCCUCAAAUCUGAUCAUCGAAUCCUAAUGAAACCUAAAAUACAAAUCAACCCUUAACAGAAAUCAAACACAAAAACCCUAUAUUUAUCAUUCAAACAAAAUUCAGAAUAAGUUAAACAUAGCCAUGCAGACCAAUUAAGUGAAUGAAGGAAAAGGGGUAAUAGAUUCAACCAACCUACGGAGAUGAGAAAUUCUCCGGUAAAAAAAAGGUAAUCAUUUCAAUUCUUUUUAUUGGCUUUGGUCCGGUUUGUCUUUUAUUCCUCCACUAACUUCUUCUUUUUCCCUUGUGUGGGGUAUCAAUGGUUUUGUGAUAUGGCUUAGCUCAGAGAAAUUAGGACUUCAAUGUGGUACCCUAGUUACUGUUUAAUUGGAGCUUUAAUGAAGGUUUCGGGGUUGCAGAAGCAAUUAUACUCUUAGGGUUUUCUUAUCUCUUUUUUUCGUGCUUAAAACAUCUAAUUUGUCAUGUAUUAAUAUAUCAAAUUAAGUCUUAGUGAUUUAAUUGGAUUGAUUUGUUUUAGAAAAUUUUGUAUUAGAUUGAUUGUAAUUUGAUUUAGGUUUUUUUAGAAUUUGGAUCUGAUUGUUGUCAUACCCUACUUUUUAAUCCUAAGAUCCCAUUUCUCAUUUGCUUCUUUUGCAUACAGGCAAAGUCACAUCUUGGUCUUUCCCAUAUUCAUCUUUGGGUUUGCUUCUUGCAGGGAUCACCAAACACUUUUUUGUUCUACCUUUAUGUUUAUUUUAUUCAUUUCUUAUCUAACCACCAAUCAAAAUACCAAAAAUAUUUCUUAUUUAUUUUAAGUUUAUUUUGCAAGAUAGGGCUUCUCAAGUCAAAAGUAUCCCAUUGUUGUCUUACUUCUCAAGAAAGUCAUAAGUUCAUGUGUUUAUUUCCAUGCAUUCUUCAACAAGCAACUUCAAGAUUUGAGCUAUUUAAUCAAGAGGCUAUCAAGGAAACCUUAUAUUGAGUUCAUAUGAUCAUUCAUGUGCUUUGGAAUGCAAGGAAGGUCCAAGUGCACAAGUUUGUUCCAAGUGGUUUGACCUAAUAAUCAACAUUUUGAAGUCAAAGUUCCAAGGACCACAACUCCUUCAAUUUUAAACAUUUUUGAAUUCCCCUUUUUUCAUAUGACUCUUCUCAACAUCCUCUACAACUUCGCUUUACAUGAGAAAAGCCAAUUAUGCUUGGAGGAUCCUCUACAACUCCUUCUAUUUUUCAAGUGACUUUUCCCCAACUUUCAAGAUUCAUAACUUCUUCAAAUUUUAGCAUAUGGAACUGAUUCUUCUUGCACAAUGUCAUUUGUGAUUCUAUCUACAAUUUUUCUCCAAGGACCAAGGUCAAAUUAUGCUUGUAAGGCCAUGUAAUUCGUUGGGACAUUAUAGGUCAUUUUCAGCCAUGGAACACUCAAAUGUUUCUAAGUUAUGGAACCAGUAUUUUAUGCCAACUCCAACACACCAUAAAUUUGUGCUCAAGAAUCCAAAUGCAACCUUUCUUGGAUCAUUCUAAUCUUGGCCAUAAUGUUAACACAUUGCAAAAAGAUUGGGAUCAAAAAGCCUCUUGAGUAGGAUGCCCCAUUGAGUUGAACAUGGUGACUUGAAACUGAAGAAAUCACCAUUGCCCGAAAUUUGAUCACGACUAAACUCAACUUCAAGCCAAAUUAGCAAGUGUUUUGGUCCUAAACAUGUUUAAUCAAACAUUCAGAAGUUAAUUGAUACUUAAAACGCAUCAUUUGGCCGCUUUUUGAGGAGUUUCAAGUCACACUUUUCACACACUUGGAUCAAAUUUAUUUUACACGAAUUCAACAUCAUUCCACAUGUAUUUGGAUCCGAUUACAUUGCCUAUAAAUAGAGGAAGUUGUUACCUUCAUUUGCAAGCUUUUGAGAGCCAAGAAACCUCAGCUGCAACUUGAAGUUUUUCCAGAAAAAUUCAACUAUCGUGUUUUGAGUUUCAGUCUGUUUCUAUCCAUUUUCUUGAUUCUAUUAUCUCCAUAGGAAUUCUCUGAAGCUUUUGUAACAACUCACAAGCUCUGAGACCUUCUGAAUUUCUCCAACCAGGUCGAGCUUCAUCAACUUCUGAUCACCAUUUGGAGAAGGUAGUUCUGAGCAUCAUUUGAACUCAAACAAGUUACCACAAUGUAGUUUUUCAUUCUCUGAUGCUUUCCCCUAACUUAUCUGGUUUUGAUUGAUCAUGUUCAUCAUUUAAUUUUACUUUUCGUGUUUUGCUUAUUUAUGAAACUUCUCUGAAAUUCCCUUUUCUCAAUUCACAUAAAUGAAUUUGAAGCAUAAGGUUGAAUUCGGGAUUAGAAGAGCAUCACAAUGGAGGUGGUCUCGUGUCUUGAAGUUACCAAAUGAUGAAACUCCUGUAAGAGCUCAUCGGAGAAGAUGACUGGAGUAUUUCUCAGGUGGUCUGAGUUUUGACCAUACACGUUGGCAUUUUGAAAUGUUUUGAUUGGUCAAAUUCAAAUUUGAUCCUGUGUUUGGCUUGCAGCGUGUUCCAUCGUGUUUCUCAUCAUUUGGAGUGUUGGAUCAAUCACGUCAAUUAAUGAGGCGUGAUCCAACGCUCCUAGUUUUUUUUCUUUUGAUUUUAAUUCUUUUAUUAUUUUAAAUUUCUUUUUCUUUAAAAAUUCGUAGUAAUUUGAUUUUUUAUCCAAAAAAAUCCAAAAAUAAUUUCUAAAAUUCUCUUUUAUUUUUCUUCAUCUGAUUUUUAUUUUAACACAUUUUAUUUCAUUGAUUUUCUAUUUUUCAUGAAUUUUCUCUUUUAUACUUUGGUUUAAUUGGUUUAAAAAUACUUUUCUGCAUUUUAAAAUUCUGAAAAUUUUAUUAUAUGUUUCUCAUUUUAUUUCCAACCUUCCAUAAUUUUCUUGGCCAUUUAUUUGGUGUUUUGAAGAACUUUGUGGAUUUUCCAUUUUAUUUCCAUUUUAAAAAUCAUUUAAAAAUACCUUCAAUGCACUUUUAUUUCAUUUAAUUUCAUUUUGAAUUUGUUCGACCUUGUGAACUUCUGUUGGCGUUGGAUCAUGAUGAUUUUGACUUCAAGUCUCAUCAAACUCAAUGGAUCUUGGGUGUUGGUGGGGUGAAAACCCUAAUCCACCAAAAUGGAUGAUUGAUUUUGAUGAUGGCUUGAUCAAAUUUGUGAUUCAAUUUGGGUGUAACCUAUUUUGUCCCCUCUUAUCUUCAUCCCUUUCUUUUCUUUUGAUCAAUUGGAUGAAUUUGUGUCCAUCUUGUUCAUGAUGUGUGGAUUGGUGCUUGAUGAACUUUCAUCAUUUAAAAUGCACCUUCUAAGUGAUCAUGAAUCAUUUAAGGUACUUUUGAUUGAUGCAUAAGUUUGUCCUAAGUAACAUGAAAUAUGGAUUGAAGUAAUGGACCAUCCUCCUAGCCUUUGUGCUUGAUCAUAUCCCCUUUCAUUUUCUUUUCUUGUGUGGAAUAGCUUUAGGAGGAGGAUUUACAUAUUAUUUCUCUAGCAUGUAUUCACACAAACAUUAUUAUUGACCGACCUCAGAUAGUUGUAACUUCUACAUAAGUCCAUUUUUAUAAGUGAGAUUGUAAGUCUUCCAUUCAUCAUGGUAUUGUCUGAAAAUUUUGCUUCUUUUCCUUUUAUGAGAGCUAGUGGCAUACUUGUUGAUUUUAUCCAAGUUGGAGCCCUUCUAGUAAAUGAUGUAUAAGGUCCAUAUUUCCAUGCUUGUGAGUGGAUAGUUGAGUAUUCUCUAAAAAGUGACCAAAAUAUCUUUUAUCUUUAAUUACUAACAUCAUUUACUAACACUUUACUUGUAUUAACUUUUAUUUCCAAGUCAUUUACUUUAUGUUCCUUUAUUUUUUAUGUCAUUUACUUUAUGCUUUAUGUUUAACAUUUCAUAUUACAUUGUGAUUAUGUCAUUUUGUUCUUGGUACAUUUCGACCAUUCUUUAUGUCAUUACUAAAACCUAAAAAAGUAACUUCUCUCUCUUAAUUCAUGGACUUGUGGUUCCCAUCCUGGGCAUCUUUGUGGAGUUAUGGACUUAGAAUUAGGAUCUUAACCUUUGCUUUGGAACUUGUAGCCUUAUACCUUAAAAUUCGUAUGAUACCUUUGACUUUGGACUUCUUUGGGAAGACUCGGCUUAGUUACUUUGAGUUUAUCUGAUACAUGGAUUACUAUUUGCUUGUUUUGCUUGCUUGAGGCUUAAUCCAAACGAGGGAAUUCUUACUUAACUUAUGUCACAAAGCUUUCUAUCUCUUGAUUAGAUCUUUCUUCUUUAUCUUUUACUUUACUGCUUUAGGAUAGUCUCUUCUUCUCCUUCCCCUUCUUUAAUUUUCAAAAUCUUCUCUCUUUUUCAAAACCUUCUUGUUUUAACUUGAACCACUUUCUCAAUAAACCUUGACUUUUUUUUCAAGUGAUUUUCAAAACUUCUUUUUAAUAAAUUUCAAUCUAUCUUAAGCAUGUUUAGACUAAUUUCAAAAUACUUAAAAAAUGCCCAACUCAUUCAAACCAUUUUGUGUCCUUUGUGCACUUUUUACUUUUAAACUCUUUCUCAAAGCAUUAGACAUGAGUCAUUUCCAUAUUUGAGUUGUAAUCCUCCUAUCUCCAUAGUAUUGAUGAUAAUUCUUUUCCAUCUGUGAGAGCUAGUGGCAUACUUGUUAAUCCUUAUCCAAGUUGGAGCCCUUCUCAUGAUGAUAAAAAGUUCUCAUACUUGUGGGUGACUAGUUGAAUAUUCUCCUAAAAAUGAUAAAAUGUCUUUUCCAAAAAAAAAGAAUAAAAAACACCUUUGUUAUUUUUACCACGAACUAAGAGGUUUUGAUUCUCCAUUGCACUUUGUUGGUACGUAGGCAUGAGACUUUACAAGUCUUGACAAACACCUAAUCAUAAUGAAAAUGCUUCUUUUCUCAUCUCUCCAAUCUUUUAACAAACAACACCUUUUUCAAGCUAAAAUAUAUAUAUUUUCAAUGAGGUUCCCAUGGAGUACCAUGGAUGUUUAGGAUGCUAAUACCUUCCUUUUACAUAACUAACCCCCGGACCCUUGUUCUUUUUUUAUUAGUUUUUUUUAAACUUCUUUAGAUUUUGUUCGUACUUUUUUCCUUUUCCUUUGGAAACAACAAAAGCACGGUGGCAACUCUUACCGUAUGAGUUAAGUUAAUCAAUAACUUAAUCUAAAGAUUUUUACCGCUACAAUUGUACUUUGCCCUAAUUGUAUCGUGUAAUGCAUUUGUGAAUUAAAUUUGGAAAUAUUUGAUGGCAUUUCCAAUUUGAGGUUGUGGUUCUUUCCGCUUUCAAUUUGCACACGGCUUAGGGUUUAUGGAUUGAAAAAUUGGGAAUUGGGGAUUGGAUCGGGUCAUGGGUGUGACCCGAUAGAAUGGUGGAUUUGGGUAUGCCUAACCCAAUUGGUUUGGACCUAGGUCGCGUGUUGACCCAAUUGGACUUGGGCUCUGGUCAUCCCUUUGACAAGCCCAUUUAAGAUAAAAAAAUGGAUUAAAAAGAUAAUAAGAAUAAACUAAUUACCUUAUUAAGACUAAUUAACCUUGUAAGAACAAAAAUUGUUCUACAACAGAUUCCAUGAUUUUGAUGAUAACAAAGGAUGAAACCAAAAAUGGCACCCUAACAAAAAGUUUCUAAGUGUGCAGGGUUCUAAGGAAAGAAGGAAGAAAUCAUCAGAUACAGAAUCAUAUCAGAUACAAAUUAUCAGAAGACCAGAAGCAUCUGAAGUAGAAACACGAUUCAAGAAAGUCUAACUCUGAGCAAAACAGCAAAAUAUCAGAAGCAUCUGAACAAGAAGUACGCUCUAGAAGUUCUGACUCUGAACAACGGUAUGUCAAACUCCAGAAGUUCUCAGCGCUAUCUGAAGAAACCAUCAGAACUCAAAAGAGAUCAACAUCAGAAGUUAGAUAGCAAGAUUCCAAGAUCUCCAGAAACACGAAGACUCUGAUUAUGGAAUUGCUAAAUAAGGAAGAGUAACGUUAACUUCAAAUAAAGUUAUGGAAAUGGACUUCCUAAUACAGAAAGAGACGUUAACUCCAAAUUCAAAUGAAUAGGAACUAUAUUUGGAAAGUAGUCAUUCAAGGAGAAAAAGUUGUUUUGGCAACAAACAACAUAAGUUAUGGCACUAAUUAUUAUUCAAGAGUUAUUAUCUGCUAUGAUUUUUCAACGGCUCUUUCUCUCCUAUAUAAAGGACAGCAAUCAACUUUGAGAGGUUAGAGAAAGCAAGCAUACACAAAAACAUUCUUCAUCUCUCUCAAUAUUUCACAAAGCUUUUGCUUGAAACGUAAAACACUUUGUUCUUACUGUUGUAAUAUUUGCUUAUCUUAGAAGCACUCUAGAUUACAUAAGUUUUUAUCUUUGUUGUAUUUCCUCAAGUGACUCUGUGCAGUCUGUAUACUUGAGAGGACUAAGAGAUCUUUCUCUUAGACGUUGUUUGUAAUCAAUCUUUCAAGAUUAGUGGAUUAAGUCCUUGUUGAAGGCGAAAUCACCUUGGCCGGGUGGACUGGAGUAGCUUUGUGUUAUAAGCGAACCAGUAUAAAAUCCUUGUGUGAUUUUCAUUUUGAAAAAGCGCUUAUUUUCAAAACAAUUCAACCCCCCCCUUUCUUGUUUUUCUCACCUUCAAACCUAACCAUCAUCUAAUAAUAAUAUAAAUUGAUAUUUUGAUAAAAGUUGAUUAAUGAUGUAAUUAACCUAAUUAAUCUUAAUCAAACUUAAACUAAACUCGAGUUAAUCAUAAGUUAAUCAUAUAUUAAAAGCUCUUUGAUGAAUUUAACUGUAAAUUAGCAAAAAAAUCUAAUAAUCGCAUAAACCCUAUUCAACUCUAAAAACCACAAGAUUAUCAAUUAAUCAGGAUGGAUCAGGAAAAAAUCUAAAUGGUCCUCUUGUGACUUUUUAUGUCAUUGGGGAGGACCAGAUAACUUAUACCGGCUCCGGACAUGUUAGUGAUCUAGGUUAGGGGAUAAAGGGUCAAAAUUUGGGGUACGACAGUUGCCCCUAUAUAAUCAGCUUAAACUGGAAGGACGAUGGCAGUGAGUCUUUGUCCACCCUGGAUAAGGUGAUUAAAUAUAGAGAGGGUCCCUAAUUUUUACCAUGUAGUUUGUAGAUCCUGGGAAUGAGCACAAAUUGAACAAUCCUUGAUGCUUUGCUGGUAUACGAGCCAACUUAUGAUGGAACCCUGGUGAGACUUUAUUGAUUAGUUUCAGCCCAUCUGGGUGAAACUAGCAUACCAAUUCUAUGAUCAUCCGAUCAUUUUAUCGAAAUUAGACAGGACUAUAACGAUCCUUUGAUCAUUCCUUGAUAGAACCAUGGUAGAACCCAUUUGAUUAGUUCCAACCCCUUCGGGUGAAACUUGCAUACGAUUCCUAUGGUCAUCCGAUCAUGUUAUGGAAAUCGGGCAGGACUCUGACGAUCCUCCAGUCACAAUUUGAUGAAACCCUGGUAGAACCCCUUUGAUUAGUUUUUGCUUAUCCGGGUGAAACUUGCGUAUAAUUCCUAUGAUCCUCCGAUUGUCUUAUGGGAAUCGGGUAGGACUGUAAUGAUCCUCCAGCCGUUAUAAUUCCUAUGAUCAACCAAUUAUUUAGAAUCUUUGUAGGACUCUGUCAAUCCUCUAGUCGUUGUUUGAUAAAACCAUAUGCAUUUGAUGGAGCUUGUGCCAUGUGCCAGAUAGGUUGUUAAGUUGGGGAUAUGAGAGAUGAACACCUACUCAUUGGUCGAUAGCUAUUAUUUGAGAUGACCGAGUUACUGGACAUGUUAAACUUGCAGGGGAGAUCCUUUGCUUAAAAAGGCUCCUUAGAGGCUCUCUUACUGGGUAAGGCCAAUAACUAUUCUUGAAUUGAGGAUUUGUAUUAAUAUUGCUGGUUAUUGAACUUCUAAGAGUGGUCAAACUCAUAUGUUAUGUUAUACGUGUUCAUGCAGAUGCAUAUUUUGAAUUGAUGUAUGUGCUUAUGCGUGAUGCUUUAUUUGGGCUAUCGCCUCUUUUAUGAUGUGUAUGAUGAAUAUGUGAAAUUGUGAGAAUUGUGAGAACCUAGGUUUCUGUAACAUUUCAACUCUCCAACCCCUUGAGACUUUGAUAUGUUCAUGGACUAUGCCAUGAUGCUCUUGAUGUUUGAGAAUAAUUAAAAGGAAGAAACUUUUAUGCUAAUUAGAUCAUGACUGUUGAUUCAGAGACCCUGCGUUUUGUAAUGUUAGAAAGCUUAUGAUACUUUUGUCAUUUCAAAAUCGAAGUAAAAGAUGUUUUUAAUUUUUUUAAUUAUGCCCGAUCUUUUAAUGUAUUAUUCACAAAUAAUUGAUAUUUUAUAAUCAAGUAGAAAAUUGAAAAUAAGGCUCAAAACAAUUUUAUUUAUUGAGAUUUUUGACCCGUAAAUGGGUGAUAGUACAUGAAAAAGAAAAUCCCAUAAAGGGGAGAUUACUGAAAAGAUGGAAUAUGUAAAUUGACAAUGAAAAUAGAUUAAUUUAGGUUCCUAGUGAAUUCAACAUUUGAUAUUAUCCAUAUGUCUUCAAAGUCACAAUACUUUGCUUCUGAAGAUGAUGAUUGCGUUGACUGUUUUCAUCUGAAUUCCUAUUGUAGUAUGGCUUAAAUACUGUAGUCAUAUGCCUUUUGGAUAUCUCUAACUUUUGUCUAGACUGCGCUUUUGAGUCUUAGUCCACCAGGAUGAUAUACCAUUUUUUCCCUAAGACCCCCUUUUGGGGUUUUCGGCUUAGUGGGUUUUAUUUUAUACAAGUAUCUAAUUUUUCCUGGAUCGCUCUUUCGAGUUCUCAAUCCACCGAGACACACUAAUUUUUGCCUAAGUCGCCCUCUCGGGUUUUAAAAUUAGAGGAAUUUUAUCCUCUUUUGCUAGGCAUAGUAUUUCUUUACUGCUUCAGAGUUCACAUGUCGUGGUAACUCUGCUCCAUUCAUAAUUGUGAGUAUUAAGGCCCCUCCAGAGAAGGCUUUUUUCACGAGGUAUGACCCUUGGUAGUUUUGGUUCCAUUUUUCUGCGGGGAUCUUUGUGGAUGGUUCAGAUUUUCCUGAGUACUAGGUCGACUACUAAGAAUAGACGAGGAUAAACUUUCUUGUCGAAUGCUUUCUUCAGCCUCCGCUGAUAUAACUGUCAGUGACAUAUCGCAACCAUGUGUUUCUCUUCUAUGAGGUUUAAUUGAUUGAAUCUUGUUUGUGCCCAUUCUUCCUCUUCCAAUUUAGUCUCCAUAUGGACUCUCAGAGAGGGGAUCUCGACUUCAAUAGGAAGUAUCAGUGCCAUAUACCAGAGAGAAAGGAGUUACUCUUGUUGACGUGCGAAUUCACAUUCUAUAGCCGUGUAGUGCAAAACGUAGCAUUUCGUUCCAAUCUUUGUAAGUUUUUACCAUCUUCUAGAUAAUCUUUUUGAUGUUCUUGUUAGUUGUUUCUACUGCACCGUUCAUCUUAGGCAUGUACAGUGAUGAGUUUUGGUGUUCGAUUUUGAAACUGUCGCAUAACUCGUCCAUUACCUUGUUAUUUAGAUUCAACCCAUAAUCAAUGAUGAUCUUGUUAUGAACACCAUAUCGACAAACGAUUUACAUUUUGAUGAAUCAUGCAAUCACUUAUCUCGUCACAUUAGUGUAAGAAGUAGCCUGUACCCAUUUGGUGAAGUUAUCGAUAGCAACCAGGGUGAACCGAUGUCCGCUCGCAUCUUUUGGAUAGAUCAUCCUGAUUAUGUGAAUACCCCGCAUGGAGAAAGGCCGUGGAGCGGUCAGGGAAUUCAAGGGAGUAGGUGGCACAAGUACUUUGUCUGUAUAGGUGUGGCACUUAUGACAUUUCUUGACGCAUUUGAAGCAAUCAGACUCCAUAGUUAACCAAUAGUACCCUGCUCUGAGAAUUUUCUUAGCCAUGGUGUUCCCAUUGGCAUGUGUGUAAAAGGAUCCCUCGUGAAUAUCUUUGAUAAGCAUGAUUGCUUCGUAUCCAUCUAGGCAUAUGAGUAAGACCAUGUCGUGGUUCUGUUUGUAUAGCACAUCACCAAUGAGGAAGAAUAAAGAUUCCAAUCUUCUAAGCGUUUUCUUAUCUUGGCUUGAAGCGUUUGCAGGAUACUCAUGUUUCUGAUACUUUGAAUCAACUUUUAUAUGCAACUCUAAUUCAAAAUUGAUUAAUGCAUAUUCUUAUAUUAAAAUUAUGCUCUUUAUGUUCUUGUAUAUUUUCAAUUAAUAUUUGUAAAUAUGAUCAAAUAAGGUAUAUCUUAUAACAAAGUGUGAAAUUUUAAGUUGAAAUUAGUAAUGUUGGAUAGAGGAUUGAUGAAUCUAUCAAAAUCUCUUUUUUUUUAAUGGAAAAACUGUAGACAAUGGAAAGGGGUUAUACAAGUUUGAAUCUUAUAAAUUUUUUAUAAGCAAGCAAUUGAUUAAAUAAAGAGAGUGCAAGGGAUACUCUAACCCUUACAAAGAUGACAAACGCCACUUACAAACAGAGAGAAGGAAUUGAAAAUACAAUCGUACAACCAACAUAUUUGAGAAGAAAUACUACCAACAACUAACCAAUUCCAAUAUAAGAACUUAAUGGAUAUGACAACUUCAUCUACACAUAAAAUUGUCUCAUUAAACAAAGAAUUAUUUCUCCCUAAUCAGAUGAUCCAACAAGCUUCUAUCUAAAACAUCUCAUCCUUCUUCUUGCCAAAAUCAUGGCACGGCUUCCCCCACGAUGACAUAAACGAUACUCGCUGAUAAAAAUGUCCAAAAAAAUCACAACCGAACCAGUCACCCUAUUUCCUCCACACAUAGCAAACAACCGGGAAAGAUAUGAAAAGAUGGAGAAAAUUCUCCUAUUUAGCAAAACAAAAGACACACAGAGUAUCACUAACAUCAUUAAUGAUACCUCUAUACAACAAGUUAACCUUAGUUGACACCUAUCAAUCAACAAUCUCCAAGCAAAAAUAAUAAAUUUGGAAGGAAUUUAGGAAUUCCAAAGGAUGUUUAGGGCUGCAGACAUAUCAUAAUGACCCACUACCAAAUGAGAUUCAUGCAAAACAUAAUAAUAAAAAGAAACCAAAAACAGGAGAGACGCAUUCGGGAUCCACUCGGACCUAUCUUGCACAGAAAAAAUAGGUUGAAUCAACUCCAACUUGUCCAACAACUCCUCCUUCAAAUCGGUUGAACCUCUAUCAAGAUUUCACUCAUUCAAAUGUAGAUUCCAUACUCGAUGUCCUUCAACCCAAUAUCUCAUCCCUCCAACACUAAUAUUAUUCAAAACGGAACAUGUAUGUAACUCGGGAAAUGCCUCCUUAAUGCUCUAUAAACACAAAUGCUGGACUAGAAAUCGACAUCAGAAUCGUUAUCCGUAAAACACCUCAAAUUACCUCUGAAACAAUCUUUGCUCAAGCCAUAAUCACACCCCAAACUAGAUAAAUCUCUCCACUAAAUUGAGUCAUGAUUCCCCCCUUUAUGAAAGCUGAUACUCAUAAUAGGAAUCCCAAAAGAACAAUAUAUAAAUUCAAUCAACUUUGACCAAAUAGCCACCAAAUCAUUUAAAAUCUUCCACUUCCACUUCAAAAGGAGGGAUAUAUUGAACAACCUAAUAUCUUUGACACCUAGACCUCCUUAUCUUUAGGUAAAUAGACAUUUUCCCAACUAACCUAGUGAAUGGAUCUUCUCGUGGAUGGAAAAAAUUUACAGAGUCACCACCAUAUUUAUUUGUUCCUAAUGAACAGGGAAAUAAUGAUAAAACCUAAGAUAAAGGGGAGAGACUAAGGUUUGGGAGUCGGUUAAGCAAUAGGAAGGUAUUAGGAACCCCUAACUCCAUUGUACUCAAUCAGAUCCUCCUCUAAAUCUAGGAUUAAUGUGUGUUUCUAAGGGAAUGUUUGGUUACGUCGUCUGUUAUUUGCUUAAUUUAUUUAUUUACAAAAAAAUGCUAUUUUUUAGAGAAAAUGAUUGAUUAAUGAAGUUAGACACAGAAAGGGUGUUUUUAGUUAUCGUAUUCGCUAGAGUGCUAUGACUCUAUGCCUAUGUACCUUCAUGUUAGAUGAAGGAUCAGGGCACCGUAGUUCUUCUAGAAAAUGUUUGUUUGUUUUGUGUUUUUUUAGAUUGUUGAAAUUUAUCAACACACCGGGGGCGGACAAACGUUUUAAAAAAUGACUCAAUGCACCAGGGCAGAUGACUUAUAGAUUGACUGUGUGGCAUUGAUUUUCAUUCAUUUGUUAAUUUAAAAAAUAUACCAUGUUUAAUUUAAUUAUAAAUUAUAUUAGAUGAUAUAAUUAUUCACAUACUUAACUUUAUUAGAGAUUUUAAACACAAUUAGAUAAUGAAAGAAAAACCAGUACGAUCUCGAUUAAACCCUGAUUAGCUUUAAUAAUGUCCCAAAAGUUAGCCCUAAAAUUUAAUCGUAAAAUUAUACUAAUAAACCUAAUCAUUAAAGCAUAUUUUUAUACUUUGUAAUUUAAAAUAUGCUAAAUCCUUGAUUAUUAAGAUUAAUUGUUUGAAUUAAAUUAAUUAUCAAUUAGAUUCUAAAAGUAAAUUAUUAAUUAUAAAGUUUUUAAUUAAGAAAAUAAGUUAAUUGAUUGAGUUUGAAUAAAUUAAGCCGAGGGUGCAUUGUUAGUUGUAUUAGUAAUUGAGUUGAUGCUGGGGGGAGUAAAUAGCAAAAAAAGAGGAGGCAUAUUAACCAUUGAAGCACAACAAUGGCCAGAGGCACCAGUGGGAGAGUCAACGGUUGAAUCUCAUCCAUGGAUGUAGGAUAAAUCCAACGUGAUUCAGGUAGAGGGUACCAGGGUCGUGUGAUAGUCAUACUAAGUCAAAGUAAUUGUAAUGGAGAGUGGGGAUUAAAAGUCAAAGCAAACACAUGGUAAGAGCAGAGGUACAUAGGCUAGUAAGAGUCAGCAUAUUAUUUGGUUGGAAAUAUGCCACCUGGGCGUGGCAUAAAUACGAGACAGAUGGAACAUAUAACCUCAAAGUCUUCAGAAUUGUUCCAUUUCUUCUUUCCCUUUCUCUCUCUUAUCUUAUCUUCUCCACUCUCUCUCGUUCUUUCUCUCUAAACCUUUUCCUCCAGCCACCCUGAAACCUAGUAGCCACCCUGCUAACCUCCCCCAAAACAGAACCCUUCAAGACCAUGAACCCUAGGAUGACCCUAACCUUAUUGAAGAACCCUAAUUAGGUUUUGUUGAACCCUAACUUAUCAACCUAGAACCCUAACCCUAAAGUGAAGAACCCUAACCCUAACUUCUAAGAACCCUAACCCUAAGACUACCCAGAAACCCUCAAUUUGAUCUAGAUCGAAUCCUAAUCAAACCUAAAACACAAAUCAACCCUUAACAAAAAUCAAACACAAAAACCCUAUAU